UUUUUUUUUUUUUUAAUAGAAAUUUCAAUCUCGCUGCCGCAUUUCAAAAGCUUCAAAUGGCAGAUGUUUGGUGUUAAUGCGUGUAAUAAGCCGGUGAUGGUCCAUAUGUAGUGCGGCAGGCACGUAUGCUGAAAAUAACGUCGGUAUCAUGGUUUGUGUGGCAUGUAGGGCAGUAUCUGACUACUACCAUUAUUGGUAAGUUUGAAAGCCAUUAUACGUGUUGCUGCGUUUUAUGCGUGGUCCCUAAUAUGUUGGAUCUUAUUUCCGGCCUGCAGUGCACAGGCCCAGCUGUGCACAGCUUUCUGCUGUCUGCCGCGAGAAGGUUAGGAGCAGCUUUGUCUCUGCAAUCGAAUUUCCCAUGUGGUGGAGACACUGUAAUUGCCAUUUUGCGAUGAUCUUUGUUGAAGGAAAAAAGCAAGCGUGUUCUACGCCUUGGCAACGGGGCAGUAUGAAAUGUAGGUGCUGCAGAUGUUUAGUGGCAGAUGUGAUGGCUCGGGACCACUUGCCAAGGAAUGCAGCCUGCACUUGAGUGCUAAUGGUAAAGAGAAUGAAUUCACGAAACAUUAUGCGAAAUAGUGACGCGACAGAAACAGAAUUAACACAUACGUCAGUUUUAUAAGAGAAUGUCUCUGCGGCUGUGUGGUCUCUUACCAUGUGGUACCUUGUUAGGUGGAAUUCACCGUCACGUUGACCUCGAUCUUGCCUCGCAGAUGAUGUCACCGUGGGUUCACCCAUGGCACUGCACGACCAGCAAUGGUCGACCAGCCAGUAUCUCCUGCUUCUACUCUCGGCACCGAAAAGCACGACCCUUUGUAGAGGGCACCCUGGGAGCUGACUGACCUCACCUUGUUCCCAUGGACAGGUUGUCCAGCAGGUUCAACUCUUAUACAGCACAUCUCACAGGGAGGCGACCUUGCGCUGCUUCAGAGAAGAAUCCUUUGCUGCAGACAUGGAUGGUUUACUUGUAGAUGAACAUCUUUGGUGAAUCUACAAGUGAAUCGAGCCAGAGCGGGGCACAUUUCUCCUCGAGGUGGACAGCACAGCACGGCAGAGGCUCGACAGACAGUAAGAGGAGAUAAUGCAAGACCGCUCCUUGCUCGAGGCCUCACUCACCGAGCAUCAUCGGAGGAAGAGCCCCCGCGGGGUACUGCAAACGUCUGGGCGUGGGAGGAUCGUUUGACCAGGUUCCACGA
rnacentral:lncRNA from 1 species